GCCCAAUGGUUUAAGUAAUUUUUUAAAAUAAAUAUAAAAAACUAAAUGGCUGCAGUAACUAUGACUGUAUGAAUGUAGCAUAAUCAUUCGCCACUUAAUUAGUGGAUAGUAUGAAUGGUUAAACGAAAAUUUCUCUGUCUUAUGUAAUACAAAAAAAAAUUUAAAUCAUAGUUAAGAUGCUAUGUAAAAUUGUAAGACGAAAAGACCCUAUAAAGCUUAACUAAAAUCUUUUAAAAAAAUUAAAAUAAAAAAUAACAAUAAAAGAAGGAUAGUUUCAUUGGGGCGAUGGUCUCUAAAAAAAAACAGAGGCAUACUAUAUUAAUAAAAAAAUUUACUGUGUAAUAAAUUAAUUUAACAGUUACAAAGUAGGUUAUAACGACCCAUUGUUUUCAAAAAAAAGAAACAAUGAUCAAAAAAUAAAAGCUACUUUAGGGAUAACAGGAUAAUUUUUUCUAAGAGUCCUUAUCGAAGAAAAAGUUUAUUACCUCGAUGUUGAAUUGAGAUAACCUA
rnacentral:rRNA from 1 species